rnacentral:rRNA from 1 species
UACGUAGGGUCGCAAGCGUUGUCCGGAAUUAUUGGGCGUAAAGAGCUCGUAGGCGGUUCGUCGCGUCGGCUGUGAAACCUGAGGCUCAACCUCAGGCCUGCAGUCGAUACGGGCGGACUUGAGUACUGCAGGGGAGACUGGAAGUUCCUGGUGUAGCGGUGAAAUGCGCAGAUAUCAGGAGGAACACCGGUGGCGAAGGCGG